ensembl:miRNA ocu-mir-1343 ocu-mir-1343
UGGGGAGCGGCCCCCGGGCGGGCCUCUGCUCUGGCCCCUCCUGGGGCCCGCACUCUCGU